rnacentral:rRNA from 1 species
GAUGAACGCUGGCGGCGUGCCUAAUACAUGCAAGUCGAGCGAACAGAUGAGGAGCUUGCUCCUCUGACGUUAGCGGCGGACGGGUGAGUAACACGUGGAUAACCUACCUAUAAGACUGGGAUAACUUCGGGAAACCGGAGCUAAUACCGGAUAAUAUAUUGAACCGCAUGGUUCAAUAGUGAAAGACGGUUUUGCUGUCACUUAUAGAUGGAUCCGCGCCGCAUUAGCUAGUUGGUAAGGUAACGGCUUACCAAGGCGACGAUGCGUAGCCGACCUGAGAGGGUGAUCGGCCACACUGGAACUGAGACACGGUCCAGACUCCUACGGGAGGCAGCAGUAGGGAAUCUUCCGCAAUGGGCGAAAGCCUGACGGAGCAACGCCGCGUGAGUGAUGAAGGUCUUCGGAUCGUAAAACUCUGUUAUUAGGGAAGAACAAAUGUGUAAGUACCUAUGCACGUCUUGACGGUACCUAAUCAGAAAGCCACGGCUAACUACGUG